rnacentral:rRNA from 1 species
UACGGAGGGGGCUAGCGUUGUUCGGAAUUACUGGGCGUAAAGCGCACGUAGGCGGCUUUGUAAGUUAGAGGUGAAAGCCCGGGGCUCAACUCCGGAAUUGCCUUUAAGACUGCAUCGCUCGAAUUGUGGAGAGGUAAGUGGAAUUCCGAGUGUAGAGGUGAAAUUCGUAGAUAUUCGGAAGAAACACCAGUGGCGAAGGCGACUUACUGGACACAUAUUGACGCUGAGGUGCGAAAAGCGUGGGGAGCAAACAGG